rnacentral:rRNA from 1 species
UACGUAGGGUGCGAGCGUUGUCCGGAAUUAUUGGGCGUAAAGAGCUUGUAGGCGGUUUGUCGCGUCUGCUGUGAAAAUCCGGGGCUCAACCCCGGACUUGCAGUGGGUACGGGCAGACUAGAGUGUGGUAGGGGAGACUGGAAUUCCUGGUGUAGCGGUGGAAUGCGCAGAUAUCAGGAGGAAUACCGAUGGCGAAGGCAGGUCUCUGGGCCACUACUGACGCUGAGAAGCGAAAGCAUGGGGAGCGAACAGG